rnacentral:rRNA from 1 species
UACGUAGGGUCCGAGCGUUGUCCGGAAUUACUGGGCGUAAAGAGCUCGUAGGUGGUUUGUCGCGUUGUUCGUGAAAACUCACAGCUUAACUGUGGGCGUGCGGGCGAUACGGGCAGACUUGAGUACUGCAGGGGAGACUGGAAUUCCUGGUGUAGCGGUGGAAUGCGCAGAUAUCAGGAGGAACACCGGUGGCGAAGGCGGAUCUCUGGGCCGUAACUGACGCUGAGGAGCGAAAGCGUGGGGAGCGAACAGG